GAUGAACGCUGGCGGCGUGCCUAAUACCUGCAAGUCGAGCGAAGCGGGGACGGGUGAGUAACACGUGGACAACCUCCUAUACGACUGGGCUAAUUUCGGGACACCGGAGCUAACCCGGAAACUUAUAGAUGGAUCCGCGCUGCAUUAGCGAGUUGGUAAGGUAACGGCCGACAAAGGCAACGAUGCAUAGCCGACCCGUGAGGGUGUUCGGCCACACUGGAACUGAGACACGGUCCAGACUCCUACGAGAGGCAGCAGUAGGAAAUCUUACGAAAUGGGCGAAAGCCUGACGGAGAAACGCAGCGUGAAUGAUGAAGGUCAUCGGAUCGUAAAACGCUGUUAUUAGGGAAGCGGUACCUAAUCAGAAAGGCACGGCUGACUACAGGCCAGCAGCCGCGGUAAGUC
rnacentral:rRNA from 1 species